AGUUGAAUAGCAAAUCAUCAGGUAGCAUCAGAAUUGUCAUCCGUCUUCUUUUAAAAGGUCUCUCUUCUCCAUUCAUGGCUAUGGAAGUGCACACUUGCGGUAGUUGUGGAUGGCCUUUUCUUGCGCUUGUUCCUUCCGUUAACUUCUUCUUUUAUGUAUCCAGAACUCUCGAUGAUCAAUCUCACCUAAUUAAAGUGUUUUUUUUUUGUUUUCUUUUGCCAACACCACCUAAAGUGUUUAUAUAGGGAAUUAUUAUUCCUUAUCUAUCAUGUAUUCAUUAGUUAACUUUUCGAAUAGGAAAACCUAGUUUAUGUAAAAGAAAUUUUCCUUUCUGAAAAAGAAAAAAAAAAA